rnacentral:rRNA from 1 species
CACGUAGGGCGCAAGCGUUGUCCGGAAUUAUUGGGCGUAAAGAGCUCGUAGGCGGUCUGUUGCGUCCGCUGUGAAAACUCGGGGGCUUAACCCCGAGCCUGCAGUGGAUACGGGCAGACUAGAGGUAGGUAGGGGAGAAUGGAAUUCCCGGUGUAGCGGUGAAAUGCGCAGAUAUCGGGAGGAACACCUAUGGCGAAGGCAGCUCGCUGGGACGUUACUGACGCUGAGACGCGAAAGCGUGGGGAGCAAACAGG